rnacentral:lncRNA from 1 species
GAAAAGGAAGAACAGGAGGAGGAGGAGGAGGAGGAGAAGGAAGAAACAGAAGAAGCAGCAGCAGCAGCACCACCCUCCCAACCCCCUCCCCCACGGUAGUAUGAGCUCCUGAACAAGCGCUUCCUAGCCUUCCUUCAACUUUUAAGAAGCACUGGCCAUUGCUCUAGUCUCCAGGUUUUCACGGAAGCUUCUGAUAUUUUUCCAGGUCAUUUGAACUGCUAAUGAUAUGGCUACUCUAGAAUUCUGUUUUCUGCAUGCCAUCUAUGAGCUAUUUAACCCUGGGGCCUCCCUUCUCCGAAGACACAGGACUGAAGACGCCUGGCUGGCAAGGCAGGAGUAUGUUAAAAGGAAAAGUGUUAUUUCAGCAGGCUCACCACAGAGGCCCUCUAGAGGGAUCGGCUCGAAUGGCUGAACAGAAGGAACCUGAAUUUGUUGACACGAUGUCUCCUCAGCCUGAGUGGGGACCAGUGAUUGCCUUGGAUUCUGAUGGCAGAGCAGUUUAUCCGCGAUUUGUUUAUGAUGCUUUACCAGAAAAGAUACAUUAAAUCAAAAGCAAGCACAGCACUGGGGAAGCUGCUGUGUCCCUGAACUUGGUACUUCCUGUCAAUGUGAACACUCACUAAUGCUACAGUUUUAGGCAGUGAUUCCAGAUUCCAAUAGAACCUUUGGACACUGAAUCUCCAGUGAGCACCUUUAAGAACAGACCAUGUACCUGCAACAGAGGACCCUGGGAACCUUGCGCCUGGGUUCUGAUGCACCGUAUAUCAUGCAUCCUUUUCUUCAUUGAACUUGCCUUGUCUUCUUUUCCCAUGAUGCAUCACAGCCAAUGAACACUAUCAUAUGCUGACUCUUAUGUCCUGGAGAGCAAUCACGUCCAUCGAAGUGCUCAGGGGAACGCUCAACACACAACUAUUCUAAACGUAGUUUCUGAACUGAGUGGACGGUGGUUUAAGAUUGCAAAGGUCUACACUGAAUCAUCAAAAUAGGGCUGACGUGACGAUGAGGCCUGUGCAGUCACACAGGAUCCCCUGACUUUUAGAGGACUCCUCCCAAGUCUGUGCUGAGCUGUGAACAUUCAACAGGUCUCAAAACUCUUAAUACAGAGUCUUAAUUUUUACUUUGUUCUGGGUCAUCAAAUGAUGUAAUUUACAAAGGGUCAAGGUGGUACUGAGAUAUCUCCAUAUUUACUUACCCUCAUGUGUGUAUGUAUGUGCCUCUACACUCACAUUCUGCGUGUUCUCCUUUUUAUAAGAACACCAUAUUAAACUGGAG